UUGAUCAUGGCUCAGAUUGAACGCUGGCGGCAGGCUUAACACAUGCAAGUCGAGCGGAGUGAUGGUGCUUGCACUAUCACUUAGCGGCGGACGGGUGAGUAAUGCUUAGGAAUCUGCCUAUUAGUGGGGGACAACAUUUCGAAAGGAAUGCUAAUACCGCAUACGUCCUACGGGAGAAAGCAGGGGAUCUUCGGACCUUGCGCUAAUAGAUGAGCCUAAGUCGGAUUAGCUAGUUGGUGGGGUAAAGGCCUACCAAGGCGACGAUCUGUAGCGGGUCUGAGAGGAUGAUCCGCCACACUGGGACUGAGACACGGCCCAGACUCCUACGGGAGGCAGCAGUGGGGAAUAUUGGACAAUGGGCGCAAGCCUGAUCCAGCCAUGCCGCGUGUGUGAAGAAGGCCUUAUGGUUGUAAAGCACUUUAAGCGAGGAGGAGGCUACUGAAGUUAAUACCUUCAGAUAGUGGACGUUACUCGCAGAAUAAGCACCGGCUAACUCUGUGCCAGCAGCCGCGGUAAUACAGAGGGUGCAAGCGUUAAUCGGAUUUACUGGGCGUAAAGCGCGCGUAGGCGGCUAAUUAAGUCAAAUGUGAAAUCCCCGAGCUUAACUUGGGAAUUGCAUUCGAUACUGGUUAGCUAGAGUGUGGGAGAGGAUGGUA
rnacentral:rRNA from 1 species